UACGGGGGGAGCAAGCGUUGUUCGGAUUUACUGGGCGUAAAGGGCGCGUAGGCGGUCAGCACAAGUCAGUUGUGAAAUCUCCGGGCUUAACCCGGAAAGGUCAACUGAUACUGUGCGACUAGAGUGCGGAAGGGGCAACUGGAAUUCUCGGUGUAGCGGUGAAAUGCGUAGAGAUCCGGAGGAACACCAGUGGCGAAGGCGGCCUUCUGGGUCCGCCCUGACGCUGGGGCGCGAAAGCGUGGGGAGCGAACGGG
rnacentral:rRNA from 1 species